rnacentral:misc_RNA from 1 species
GCGUUGUAAGGCCUAGCCUUGUGUUGAGAUUUCCUUUGCCAGGAACUCUCCAAGCCCAUCGGCGACGUUCAGUGCCCGCAAUCGCAACACACUGCGACUACGGCAUCUGGGCGUCGCCAAUAAAACCGUCAU